rnacentral:rRNA from 1 species
UACGUAGGAUGCGAGCGUUGUCCGGAAUUACUGGGCGUAAAGCGCGCGCAGGCGGUCUUCCAAGUCAGUGGUGAAAGCCCGGAGCUCAACUCCGGAACUGCCAUUGAAACUGUUGGACUUGAGUACGAGAGAGGUGAGUGGAAUUCCCAGUGUAGAGGUGAAAUUCGUAGAUAUUGGGAGGAACACCAGUGGCGAAGGCGGCGAUCUGGGAAGAUACUGACGCUGAGGUGCGAAAGCGUGGGGAGCAAACAGG